ensembl:rRNA 5S_rRNA 5S ribosomal RNA
UAUGGCCAUUCCACCCUGAACACACCCGAUCUCAUUGAUCUCGGAAGCUAAGGAGGGUCAGGCCUGGUUAGUAUUUGGAUGGGAGAAAUUAAUCACUUCAAAGGCUAGAAUUUUAAUAU